AUUCACUCCCAGUCUUCCGUUCCCUGCAAUUCCAUCACUUUUUUUCUUUCUCCGCCAAACAAUUCCCUCUCAUUUCGCCUCUCUCUUACUCUUUCUUUCUUCGUUCUCGAGAAACUUCGUUAGGGUUAGGGUUAGGGUUAGGUCUAGGGAGUUAGGUUUCACCAUGAGGUUGAGGGAGGACGUACCUUGUAGGAACGAUGAAGGUAUUGAGAAAGAGGAAGUAAUAGAGGACGUAACUGUGCCACAAAAUCAAUGGUGUCCUGUGGUGAAUGCUGGAUUUUCUUCGCCUAAGAGACUCGUUGUCGUUGGUUAUGCUCUCACUACUAAAAAGAUUAAGAGUUUUUUGCAGCCUAAGCUUGAAGGUUUAGCUAGGAACAAGGGGAUACUAUUCGUAGCUAUCGACCAUAAUAGGCCUCUUUCAGAUCAAGGUCCUUUUGAUAUUGUGUUGCAUAAGUUAUCAGGAAAAGAGUGGCGCCAGGUUCUUGAGAGUAAUUGUCCCUAUCUCUCACUAUGAAUCAUGAACCAGUAUGUGAGGUCGAGGCCUCAAGGUUCCCGCAAGUGAGGAUGUCACUUCUUUCAGGGCCAUCUAGCUGAUUUUGUCAGGUUUUAUAUGACGAAUUUUUUCAAAAGGUUUUUUCCCCCCCCUUAUAAAUUCUUUUGGGCAGGUCAUUUCUUCUGAGUGCAACGGUACCCUUCUGGUGGUUUAAGAGAGAUAGAUGCCCUAUAAGUUCCAUUCUCAUUUUCCAACUCUCUGUGCUGUAGUGUUUGCUAUACUUCUAAACUAGAUAUGGAUGUUAUAGUGGUCAAGUAUGUAUAGUAUUAUGCGAGUUGCUCCCCUCACUUGUCUGAUCAAUGGACUGGUUGACUGGGCACAAAUUGCGGUGACUAUCACAUGCCUUUAUUAACCCAUAUUUGCUACCUGGUUGAUGCCCUCACUCUGUACUGUAUUUACAUGCAUGUCUGACAUUCUUUCAUAAAAAUUUCCUAAGCUGUAAUAAUACCUAUUUCAUGUACUAUGCUUUCAUCUAUAUUAUUAGUAAAUAAAUUCUUCUGUAUCUGUCUUUUAUGUUGAAAUUUCAACAUUAUACCCACAAAAAAUGGAAAAUUUAUGUUUAAUCAGAAGACUGAUGCAAGCGUUUUGCAUUGCAUUUUCAAUUUUAGGGAUUUUGUUGCAAAUACAUCUUCUAUCAUUUUGCUUUAGAUCCAUUUUCCUGAUAUCUCUGUGAAAUUAAAAGUUAAAAUGAAUUAUAAAUUUAUUCUGUAAUGCCUUGUGAAUAAUUUGUUGAACUCACUAUUUUCAUGAUUAUUGGUUGAUCAUUAAUUAAGGUUAAGCUUUCAUACUUGUAUGAAUGAGAGUUUAAUCAAAUUUCUGCUAUGCUCUCUUCUGCCUUGGAAUCUUAGUUGUCACAUUCUAGUGUUUACUGAAGGGAACAUCAAAGUUUCUUGUUUGAGUUUAGCAGAAAAUGUGAACUGAAGUAAGGAUUCUUUCGAGAUGAAUAAAUAUUCUGAGAAUUCUUUUGGAAAAAGACAAUGUUGAUUUCUUAUGUUUGGCUGUUGCAUUUUUUUAAAAUAGUAUUUAGAGAAGCAAUGACCUAUCUUCUUAUCUCUUAACUUCUGAAUGUAUUUUAGGAAUAUAGGCAGUCACACCCAGAAGUUACUGUUCUGGAUCCUCCGGAUGCCAUACAACAUUUACGCAACCGUCAGUAUAUGCUUCAGGCUGUUGCAGAUAUGAAUCUUUCUGAUGCCUAUGGCAUAGUUGAUGUUCCUCGGCAAUUAGUUAUCAAGAGAGAUGCAUUAGCCAUCCCAGAGUUGGUCAACAGAGCUGGCUUGACUUUACCCCUUGGUAUGUAUAUGUUGGUUUUUCAACUACUUUUAGAUGCUGCAGUUAUGCGAUUUCUCAGAGCAUGGGCGCAUGGACAUUUAUUGUUACGAGGGUUGUGUUUUUGAGGCAAAGUCAUUAGAACUAAUGAAAAUAGGCAUGUUGCAAAGCCACUUGUUGCUGAUGGAAGUGCAAAAUCCCAUGAAUUAUCACUUGCUUAUGAGCAAUACUCCCUUCAAAAACUUGAACCUCCUCUUGUUCUUCAGGAGUUUGUCAACCAUGGGGGUGUUCUCUUUAAGGUUUAUAUAGUUGGUGAUGCUAUAAAGGUAGUUAGACGGUUUUCAUUACCUGAUGUUAGCAAGUGGGAACUCUCCAAAGAUGCUGGCAUAUAUAAUUUUCCAAGGGUUUCUUGUGCUGCAGCUUCUGCAGAUGAUGCAGAUCUGGACCCUACUGUUGCUGAGCUUCCUCCAAGACCUUUACUAGAGAAACUGGCUAAGGAACUUCGAUGGCGAUUGGGUCUUCGUCUAUUCAACUUGGAUAUUAUUCGCGAGUAUGGAACAAGAGAUCAUUUUUACGUCAUUGACAUAAACUACUUCCCCGGAUAUGGCAAAAUGCCAGAAUAUGAACACAUAUUUACAGACUUCCUUUUGAGCUUGGGGCAGGGGAAGUAUAAGAAAAAAUCUGGCUAAAUUAAUUCUUUCCAGCCCUUUGAUUUAUGGAGUCCUCUUAAUUUUUGCUCUAUAUAUGGUGGAAGUGCCAGGAAGAACUUUAAAUAGAUUGUGUUUUGGAAACUUGGACCUGUACAGAGGAACUUUCUGCUGCCUUUCCAAAGUAAUGAAUGUUGUUGCAUUAGCCAAAUCCUGAAAUUCCGGCGGGUAGCUUGAUGACCGAAGGUGUCAAUACCUGCAGUGUUGUAUUUGAAGGAUUUGUCUUCGCACCGAGGGGUGCUGUUGACCAUGAAUGUUGAUAAUGUUUGAUCAGUUGAUGGAUACUGACCGUUCUUUGCUGUAUAUAGGUAUAAAUUCUUGACAGUAGGAAUCUAAUGCAGAUUUUCAUCAAAGCACACUUUUUUGUAUUUUGUUUACAAAUGAUCUCAUCAGCAUGCCGAAUAACCGCCGGAACCCCUUGCUCCUGCCUGUUUUACGUAUGCGUCUCAUUGUCUGUCUUUUUUUGGGUCAAAACAUGUCUGUCUGCCUUAACCGUAAUUUUUAGCCCUCCAUUUUAAGUGGUAAAAUUAUACAGUAAAAUGUUUGAAAGUUAUGAAAUGAUAUUUGUGCAAUGCG